rnacentral:lncRNA from 1 species
CUCCGCUCCUGCUGUUAGUAAGGAUUCCAGACCAUGCAGACUUCUAACCCACUGGGUAGACUGCAAGGCACAUCAGUGUACACAGAUUCUCCAGCACGUGGGAAUUAUGAUUAUUCUCUCAAGAUGCUCAAGAAGACUGCAGGUGAAUAGAGAGAUUUGAAAAUAUUUUCAUUUACCAGGC